UAUUGGUUCUGUGGUCCAGUUGCAUUCAGUUCUGUAUUUCGAUAUAUUAUCUUUUUAAGGGUGGAAUCUGGAGGAGAUGAAGAAAAGUGCAGAUUGCAACAUGCCAACUCGUAAAGGGAGGCGAGGAAGCAUCCUCAACGGUAGAACAUACACUCAGUUUUGCAUCCAAAGGAAUCGUGCCCGUUAUUAAACAAAAAUAGGCAGCAAGUUCCAGACCAGUAUGGACUGCAUGGAGGUUCGGUCAUUAGCACUGCUGCCUCAAAGCGUCAGGGACGCAGAUGUUGCCAGACCUGUCGCGUUUCUCCAGCAGUCUUAGUUAAAAUCAACUUGUUUGACCGCAUUACAACCCCACAUUCUGUAACCAGAUGGUCCUGAUGUAGGACCUAGACUUUUAUCUUGAUUCAAUAAGAUCUGUUGGUGAGAGAGCCACCUACCGAGUGAAUGCUUACACUUGCAGUCACCUUCAACCUGAUCAUUUCUCUGGAAUAUUAAUACCGUCUAGUUCCAAACAUUCAUUUGGAUGCACAAACUGAACAAAGGAGAGUCCUCCACUUUGUCCUUCGGGGAUGUGUACACUGAUAAAGAUGUAGAAUUGGACCCUCCCUAUCUGGGACUAUUGCCAGGUCUGAUAUUAAAAUUGCAACAACCUUCAUGGAUUCAAAAAAAAAAGUGUUAAUCAACACAUAUUUUAUUGCGGGGAAGGAAGAAAUGUUAUGAAAGCAUUUCAUCAUAUUAUCAUUUAAUACCCACAACCUUCCAUUUACAGCCACACUGUAGGAGGCAGUGGUGUGGUGGGAACGUCUUUGAUCUGGCUCAUCCAGAACCCCAACUUAAGGGGUAUGGGUUCAAAUCCGAACAUGGAAGAUGGAGAAACUUGAAUUCAGUAGUUUCAAGAAGCUGGAAUAAAGACCUAGCCUCAAGGCAUGUUACCAUAAACCCAUCUGGCUCACCAAGUCCUUAUUGGAAGAAAUCAUCUGUCUGUCCAUACCUGGCCUGGCUACAAAUCCACAGCAAUGUCAUUGACUCUUAACUACCCUCC